UAGUAACUGCGAGUGAAGCGGGAAAAGCUCAAAUUUAAAAUCUGGCGGUCUCUGGCCGUCCGAGUUGUAAUCUAGAGAAGUAAUGCCCGCGCUGGACCGUGUACAAGUCUCCUGGGAUGGAGCGUCAUAGAGGGUGAGAAUCCCGUCUCUGACACGGACUACCAGGGCUUUGUGGUAUGCUCUCAAAGAGUCGAGUUGUUUGGGAAUGCAGCUCAAAAUGGGUGGUAAAUUCCAUCUAAAGCUAAAUAUUGGCGAGAGACCGAUAGCGAACAAGUACCGUGAGGGAAAGAUGAAAAGAACUUUGGAAAGAGAGUUAAACAGUACGUGAAAUUGCUGAAAGGGAAACGCUUGAAGUCAGUCGCGUUGGCCAGGGAUCAGCCUCACUCUUGUGUGGUGUACUUUCUGGUUGACGGGUCAGCAUCAAUUUUGACCGCUGGAAAAAGGCCUGGGGAAUGUGGCAGCUUCGGCUGUGUUAUAGCCCCUAGUCACAUAUAGCGGUUGGGAUUGAGGAACUCAGCACGCCGCAAGGCCGGGUUUCGACCACGUUCGUGCUUAGGAUGCUGGCAUAAUGGCUUUAAGCGACCCGUCUUGAAACACGGACCAAGGAGUCUAACAUGCCUGCGAGUAUUUGGGUGGAAAACCCGAGUGCGUAAUGAAAGUGAAAGUUGAGA
rnacentral:rRNA from 1 species